rnacentral:rRNA from 1 species
AUUGAACGCUGGCGGCAGGCCUAACACAUGCAAGUCGAACGAGUGGCGGACGGGUGAGUAAUGUCUGGGAAACUGCCCGAUGGAGGGGGAUAACUACUGGAAACGGUAGCUAAUACCGCAUACCAUCGGAUGUGCCCCGAUGGGAUUAGCUAGUAGGUGGGGUAACGGCUCACCUAGGCGACGAUCCCUAGCUGGUCUGCAAGGAUGACCAGCAAGACUGGAACUGAGACACGGUCCAGAAUCCUACUGGAGGCAGCAGUGGGGAAUAUUGCACAAUGGUCGCAAGCCUGAUGCAGCCAUGCCGCGUGUAUGAAGAAGGCCUUCGGGUUGUAAAGUACUUUCAGCGGGGAGGCGUUACUCGCAGAAGAAGCACCGGCUAACUCCGUGCCAGCAGCCGCGGUAAUUC